AGAUAGGGGAACUCCGUUACGAAGCGCCCGAUCUCGGCCGCCUAUCGAAAGGGAAUCGGGUUAAUAUUCCCGAACCAGAACAGGGAUACUGCCACGCCAGUCGACCAGCGGCAACGCAACCGAACUCGGAGACGUCGGCGAGAGUCCCGGGAAGAGUUCUCUUUUUCUUUUUAACGGGCUGUCACCCUGAAAUCGGUUUAGCCGGAGAUAGGGUUUCACGUCCGGUAAAGCCCACACUUCUUGUGGGUCCGGU
rnacentral:rRNA from 1 species